AUUGAACGCUGGCGGCAUGCCUUACACAUGCAAGUCGAACGGUAACAGGUCUUCGGAUGCUGACGAGUGGCGAACGGGUGAGUAAUACAUCGGAACGUGCCCAGACGUGGGGGAUAACGAGGCGAAAGCUUUGCUAAUACCUCAUACGAUCUAAGGAUGAAAGCAGGGGACCGCAAGGCCUUGUGCGUUUGGAGCGGCCGAUGGCAGAUUAGGUAGUUGGUGGGAUAAAAGCUUACCAAGCCGACGAUCUGUAGCUGGUCUGAGAGGACGACCGGCCACACUGGGACUGAGACACGGCCCAGACUCCUACGGGAGGCAGCAGUGGGGAAUUUUGGACAAUGGGCGAAAGCCUGAUCCAGCAAUGCCGCGUGCAGGAUGAAGGCCUUCGGGUUGUAAACUGCUUUUGUACGGAACGAAAAGGCUCUGGCUAAUACCUGGGGCACAUGACGGUACCGUAAGAAUAAGCACCGGCUAACUACGUG
rnacentral:rRNA from 1 species